rnacentral:rRNA from 1 species
AACGAACGCUGGCGGCAGGCCUAACACAUGCAAGUCGAACGCCCUAGCAAUAGGGAGUGGCAGACGGGUGAGUAACGCGUGGGAACCUUCCCAAUGGUACGGAAUAGCCCAGGGAAACUUGGAGUAAUACCGUAUAAGCCCCUAGGGGGAAAGAUUUAUCGCCAUUGGAUGGGCCCGCGUCGGACUAGCUAGUUGGUAGGGUAAUGGCCUACCAAGGCAACGAUCCGUAGCUGGUUUGAGAGAAUGACCAGCCACACUGGGACUGAGACACGGCCCAGACUCCUACGGGAGGCAGCAGUGGGGAAUCUUGGACAAUGGGCGAAAGCCUGAUCCAGCCAUGCCGCGUGAGUGACGAAGGCCUUAGGGUUGUAAAGCUCUUUUGCCGGGGACGAUAAUGACGGUACCCGGAGAAUAAGUCCCGGCUAACUUCGUGCCAGCCGCCGCCGUAAGAC